rnacentral:rRNA from 1 species
UACGGAGGGUGCAAGCGUUAUCCGGAUUCACUGGGUUUAAAGGGUGCGUAGGAGGGCAGGUAAGUCAGUGGUGAAAUCUCCAAGCUUAACUUGGAAACUGCCGUUGAUACUAUCUGUCUUGAAUAUUGUGGAGGUGAGCGGAGUAUGUCAUGUAGCGGUGAAAUGCUUAGAUAUGACAUAGAACACCAAUUGCGAAGGCAGCUCACUACACAAUCAUUGACUCUGAGGCACGAAAGCGUGGGGAUCAAACAGG